CAGACAGUUCUGAUAUUCCCCAUGCAUUAGUAUGAAUAUUUGUCGUUACAAACGAGCCAACGAUGACACAUUAUUAUGAACUAUAGAUCGUAUUUGAUUCUGAUGGAUUCCUCUUUACCUAAGUCUUCUUUUCGGUCCCAGGACCCCAUCCAGGACAGCACAUUAUAUUUAGUCAUGUCUCCUUAGACUCCUCUUGGCUGUGACAGUUCCUCAGAUUUUCCUAGAUUUUGAAGAUCUUAACAGUUUUGGUGGGAGGAUGUGACGGAUCUUUAUACAUUCCACCCAGCCCUGAAUUUAGCUGGCCCACAGCCCUGAGAUUUGCCCAUCUAAUCAUGGUAGAGAAGCAUGGUGGCCCUACUGAAAUACACCCUACUUACUCAGCCCCCCGUGGAGGACCCAGCGUCCACCUUGAUUGGAUAUACCUAUUUUUAAGUUCUUCGUAGUUUGAAGAAGCACCAGGGAUUGAAAUCUACUACCAUUAUGGAGGUUAUAAUUUCGUUUUUCAAGAAAACCUUUGGAACUCUGAUGAUGAAGUCAGUUGCGACUAAUGAACCUGUGUGUUAACGGCAAAAAUGGAAUAAUAGAUCUGUGACAUUUUAAUAUAAAAUUCGAAAGAAUCUAAUGUCUUCUCACACUUAUUAGUUAUUUUAAUACAUGAAUACAUGAAUACAGAUAGUUCCUAUCUCUUCCUUGCCUUUUUUCAUGCAAUCGUUUUCUGAAGCCGCAGAGAAGAACCUACUUGAGGGAAAGGUGAGGACGGUUUGCUUUUGUAACAGUUUAAACAUUUCCUAUUCUCUUUUAUCAUUACUCAUUCUUACUUAGCAAUGGAGUCACCUUAUUUACCAGAAGCAUUACUUGGGUCUUUUUGCAAAAUUAUCAUAACUGAUUAGGAUGAGAAUUUAAUAAAAAACAAAUUGAAGAAGUGGCACAGGAGUGCAUACUAGCAACCUUGUUUUCAUUAGAAAUGCAGGACGUAAUUGGAGACAUAUGUGAAGAAAUACGGUCAUUCAUGGUGGUAUCGAUUACAGCUACUUGAGUACCAAGGCUCUGCACUCUUGAAUCAUUCCUGUUAAAAUGGUUUCAUCCUUGUUAUUCAUUUUCUCGUCAUGAACACAUUUCUCUGGGCAAAUCUUUCCCUUUAGCCAAUGGAAAAACUCUUGAAAUAAGAGUCUUAACACCUUUCCAUGACAUAAGACUCUCUCUUGGAAACUUUAUAUUUUAGAUCGCUUUCAUGUCAAAACUUCCAAAUGCCAGCUCU